AGCAGUUGAUGGAAGGUGAUGAAGAAAAUCAAGUUCUUGAUGGCCGAGGAUCACAUCGGUGGGUGACUUCACGACGGUCUUAAAAGUUGUAUGUGAUCUCAGCGAAAAUCACCGUGAGAAUUGGGCAAAACUCGAUGAUUAUGAGACAAAUAAAACUAAAUAUAAAAAACUUGAAACGAAACACGACCAAACGCUAAUGGACUGUAGGCAGCUGGAGUUUGAGAAUGAUUAUUUGAAACGAAAGCCAAAGAGUUGACGCACAGAUCUGAAGGUUUAGGUUUUACAAAAAAAAAAAAAGUGUGUGUGUCGGCUCCGACGCACGAUUGGAGUUUACUCUUUCAGAUCGACUGUCUAAAUAGACACAGAAUCAAAGGCUUACUAGUCUAAGAAAAAGAUUAAUACCAUAUCAAAUGGUAGAUUAACGAAUCAAUGAAAAUAUCUAAAUAAUGUAUUUUUAUUCUAUUUUAGUCUAGUUAAGAAGUUGAGUUCCUGCGGAAAAUAGUUACAGGUCUCCUAAAAAUAUAGUUGAUGGCUUAAACGAUCUGGAAUGGCGUCUAGAAAAAGACGUUUUGUGGAUUUUUUUUGGAAAAAUAAAAUUACAAUUGUUAUGAACAAAAAACCGUUCAAAAAACUAGCCGUCCAGCUAUUUGGCAAAAUCUCAAAAAGUAUAAGUGAUAGCUCAAAUAUUAGAAAAGUUUCUGAAAGAGCAGAAAAUUUUAUUAAAACAGUUCUCGACUCCCUGAAUUGUAGCUCCAAUAUUUAUAAUUUUAAUUUAACAUUGAAAAUCAUAUUUUGCGUGGCAGUUUCGGCAUGCGCACGCCGCCACUCUAGUGAGCGCAGUUUUUAAAUAAUUUUUGUUUGCAAUUGUUACUUAAUUGUUAAACAUAUAUAUCAUUGUAUGUUAUCGAAGUUAUGGAGCAUAUUUGAAAAAUAUAAUUAUCCCGCGAAGUAGAGCCCCACCUUUAUUCACUAUAUAUUGUGUCCCAUGUCUAUAUAACGUAGUACCUGCUGGCAGUAAAACGUAUUAUUAAUAUCGUACUAUUUUUUCAAGCUGUUUUCCGCAAGUGGCGGUCGUUAGGAUUACCUCAUCGAUCAAGUAUGCAAAGUAAAAUACUGAAUAUGACGUGGGCACUUCCAUUUGUGCCGACUCCUAAAUUUGCCGAAGCGGUACAAAUAAUUUGUAACAUGAUCGAAGUUCAUGAGGAAUCUAAUCCAAACUUCAUCCAUUUCCGACAGUAUAUUCGUAAUGUUGUAGCACCUCAAAUUGACAAAAUUUGUAUGUGGAAUACACCAUGGCAGGCGCUUACCCUGGCGGAAGAUUUCAAUCACAAUCUUUUAAGCCAUUUAGGCGAGCUCCACCCGACUAUGUUUACUUUUAUAAAAAAAAUGUCCACCUACAUUAAUCAAACAGCCAGAGUGUUGAGUAGUCGCCUUACAGCCGAUAGCUGCAUGGUGAUGGAUUUUAUUCAAAUUAUUGGAGUUUGGCGGGGCGAAAUUAGCAAACAUCUGCACAUCGCUGUUGACAGGCAACAAUACUUAUACGAUGAUCUGGCAUCAACGUCAUCACGCUUCGAUCUCUUGGGUAACCAUUAUCUUCGGCAAGAUGGAAACAUUGGUGUAGACAAUGCCGAGCUACAACCGGAAGCUGUACUUGACGUAGAUGAUUCAGAGCCACAAGAGGAUGUUGGUCCUGGAACAGAGCGACAACCAGAUGUAAACCCUGGCAUAGAACCACAACCGGAUAACCCUGGUGCAGAGCUACAGCUGGAAGAAAGCAGAGGUAUAGGCCGAGUCACAGUUGGGUGCAAGCACAAGUGCAGACAGUAAUGUUUAUGAAAUUCAGUAUCGUAGUUAUUACUAUGAAACGGCAAAGGGAUGACCAUCCCUUGUAAGAUACGAGAGCGAAGCGACGCAGAUUGAGUCGACAAAGAGCUAAAAAGAGGAAAGCUGAAAUAGAGCCAGUUGCUGACAUGCUGAAGAAUGUUAGUUUUGACACAGUUUUGACACAGAAGAUUCGAAGAUGAGCAUUGAUGCCAAAAAACCUCGUUUAAGCGAUAAUGAAGUUGACAACAUCGAUAUACCAAAAUCAACUAAAAAAAUACGAUAUUGUCGGCGUUGUAAAAGCACCACACACACAAGACCAAAUUCAAAAGAGUGUUCGAGUAUUAUUGUGCGUGAUAAGAAACCUCCUCCAAAACGAGCUUCUAAAAUUGAGAAGAAAAAAAAUAGAUGAGAACCUUCAGUGUAAAUUUUGUGGGUUGAAAGGACACAUUAGAAGAACAUCCAAGCUGUGUUUAAAAAAUAUACCAUCCAAGCGCAAAUUGGCAUUAAACGAUGAUUUUAGAGACACUGAAAUAUAUACGAUUCAAAAAGGGUUGACAAGUUUUUUGAAUGCUUCAGCGUUAACUGGAGAACAACGACAAAAAAUAAUUAGUAUUAUUUGUCAAGAUGUGUGUAAUCUAUCGCGUUUAUUUUUAAAUUUACAACUAUACAUAAAUUAUUUUUAUAAAACUCAUGCAUUAUUGAUGUCGUUUGACACGUUUAAAAGCUUAUAUAAUACCGGUCAACCAAAAUUUUUAUAUUUCGUUUACAAAUUGAUAAGAAGUAAAAGUAAGAUAGUCAUUAAUGAUCCUAAUUUAGUUAGUGAUAAAUAUUUGAAGAUAGUUGACGAAUUUAAUUAUAAUAUGAAAUAUUUAAGUACGGUUUAUGAAGAUUUGGUAGUUAAUUAUACAUUCACAUUAAAAAAUAAUUUACAAAUGCAUGCAUUGAAUAGAAUAAAAAAAUUGCUUGUUUAAAAGAUUCAGAUUUAAAUAAAAUAGAUAUUAAAGAACAAUGUACUCAAUGUUCGGUGGAUCAUAAGCGUGAUGAAAUUAAUCCAACUAUAAUAGAAAUCUGCGGCUCCCUGCCUUUAUAAAUCCGGAAUAAUUUCUCAUGCAAAAAUUUCUCAGCAAUAAUUACUCAAACAAAAAUUGAUCCGACACAAAAAUUUCUCGCUAUAAAAAAUUCUCAAAACCAAAAUUACUCACUACUAAAAUUUCUCCACGUACCAAAUCUAUAUUAUUUUUUGUAUCGGUACUACGCUCUCCAUCUCCAUUUUUUAAACACAAAUAUAAAUAAGAUUUAUUAUAAUAACAUUAAAAAUUAAUAAAUAUAUAUAAAUUUUUAUUUAUUACUACAAAUUUAUUACAUUUUAAUGUUUAAUAUCUAUAAAAAUAUAUUUAAAAUUUAAUGUUAUGGGAAAUACCCCGCAGAUAUUCUUCAAUGGGAAUAUCACGGUAUUUCUUAACGACGUUUAUGAUCCGACGAUCAUUACGGAUGUAUAUAGCCUUAGAUUUCUUUGAAGCGUCACCACGUAUCAACUGCUCCAACCUCAAAUCUACAAGUGCCUGUUCAUCACGUAAUAAAUGGAUAAACUUCCAUACAUUCAAGUGCGCAGCUUGUGCACGAUUACGAAGACCACAAUGCCAGCCUUCGACUGCGUUAUUGGUACGAUGAUCGCCUUCUAAGGCUGAUAAAUAUUGAUUCCAAAGCCGUAUAUUAAACGUUGACUUAUAAAAUAUAAAGUAGCUUCGAAAUUUACAGGUUAUUUUUUUCACAAUAAAAUACAACUUUCGAAAUUGAAUUAUAAUGAGACAUGCAUAAGUUAUGUGGAAUGAAAACCAUAUCUUUAAUAUUUUUUGAUGCCAUUAAAAUUUUGAAGGCUCUCAAAUUAUUGGAAGAAAUGGUAAAAACAUAAAGUUUCGGUUCAUGAAUUAAAGAUUAUUAAACAAGCUUACAGAUACCUUUUACGAAAAUUGUCUAUGAAUAUUAGUUUUAAAGUUAUAUUAGCUUUAGCAGUGAUUAAAAACUGAUUUUUACGAAAAAUCAUGAAAAUUGUAAACAGCCAUAACUUCUGAACUAUUCGACUGAUUCAGCCCAUAUGCAAACUUGAUCAAAAUAAUCGCCUAUAGAAUAAGUGUAAAAAAUUUCAUUAAAAUCCGAUAAGAACUGUGGAUGCUAUCGCAAUGACUAGACCAGUGAUAAUCAUAGGGAGUAGAGGUACAUUUGAGACAUCAUAAGUAAUAAAAGAAAUACUUUUAAAAUAUAAAAUAGCUGUGAAAUUAACAGGUUAUAUUCUUCACAAUAAAAUACAACUUUCGAAACUGGAUUAUAAUGGGACAAGCAUAAGUUAUGUGGAAUGAAAACCAUAUUUUCAACAUCUUUUUAUUCCAUUAAAAUUUUCAAGGCUAUCAAAGUAUUGGAAGAAAUGGUCAGAACAUAAAGUUUGAUGAGUCAAAUUAAAGCUUAUUAGACAAGCUUUCAGAUACUUUUGACGGAAAUUGUCUAUGAGUGUUAGUUUUAAAAUUAUAUGGACUUGAAAGUGAAUAAAAACGAAUUUUUUUGAAAAAUCGUAAAUAUUUCAAACAGCCAUAACUUCUGAACUAAUCGAGCGAUUUAGCCCAUCUUUGAACUUAACCGUGAUAAUCGCCUAUACACUAAUGGAAAAAAUUAAAGGAUCAAAAAAAAAUUCUAAAUUUUUAGGCGAUUUUCAACAGGCUCUAACUUUGAGAGAAAU